GAGUUUGAUCUUGGCUCAGAUUGAACGCUGGCGGCAUGCCUUACACAUGCAAGUCGAACGGCAGCACGGGAGCUUGCUCCUGGUGGGCGAGUGGCGAACGGGUGAGUAAUGCAUCGGAACGUAUCCUGGAGUGGGGGAUAACGUAGCGAAAGUUACGCUAAUACCGCAUAUUCUGUGAGCAGGAAAGCGGGGGACCUUCGGGCCUCGCGCUCUUGGAGCGGCCGAUGUCGGAUUAGCUAGUUGGUGAGGUAAAGGCUCACCAAGGCGACGAUCCGUAGCAGGUCUGAGAGGAUGAUCUGGCCACACUGGAACUGAGACACGGUCCAGACUCCUACGGGAGGCAGCAGUGGGGAAUUUUGGACGAAUGGGGGCAACCCUGAUCCAGCCAUGCCGCGUGAGUGAAGAAGGCC
rnacentral:rRNA from 1 species